CGGUCCGGAUUAUACUGACAGCACCACGUAUCGGGCUCGUGCACUUAUUGAAGUCAAUCAUUGGCAGCUAUUGUGGCGAGGUGAUCAAAACCCAUACGCCCCACUGUAUGCCGGCAUAUGGUACGAUCUAUUCGUGAACGACCGCUGAUUUAUGUGUGCGUGUGCGCGUGUGAGGGCACAAUGAAUGCGAAAUUUCAAUUAUCAAUUAGCGCUCUGACGGUGUUGGCGAGGUCCAAGAAGAUGGAGAGAAGUGUAGGAAAAAAAAAGGGCUGAUGUAACACGGCGCUCACCAUAUAUCGCUUGUAGCGCUUGCUGAUGAUGAUGAUGGCUAGACCCAUAAAGUCUGACGUGUUAUCGGCAUCGCGGGAUCUGCCAAUUUCUCCCAACCAACAGCAGGCGUCCGAUACAAACAAUUUGACAGCGUUAUCGAACCCUACGACACCACACGCGCCCCCUUAUCUGGAGUGGAUCUCGGCUAUGGCAUGUGGUGUUUUGGUGCGAUUAUUCACAAGCCCAUCAAUUGUACCCCGGCGGACAUGGGUCGUCAAGCAGCUACAGAUAAACCUAACCUAAUAUUGACGUCUAAUAAAACGAUGCAACCAGAAAACAGGGGUAAUGCCGUAACACGAAUGUAGCAAACAAUUAUAACAAAGAACAAACAAA